CUCAUUCUCUCUCUUGCCUACUGUGUUGUAAGAUGUGCCUUUCGCCUUCUGCCGUGAUUGUGAGGCCUCUCCAGCCACGUGGAAGUAAAGUUUAUUUAAGAUUACAUGGCUGGGCGCUGUGGCUCAUGCCUGUAACCUCAGCACUUUGGAAGGCCGAGGCGGGUGGACCACCUGAGGUCGGGAGUUGGAGACCAGCCUGACCAACAUGGAGAAACCCCGUCUCUACUAAAAAUACCAUAUUAGCCGGCCAUCGUGGAUCAUGCCUGUAAUCCCAACUACUCGGGAGGCUGAGGCAGGGGAAUCGCUUGAACCUGGGGGGCAGAGAAUACGGUGAGCUGAGAUCGCGCCACUGCACUCCAGCCUGGGCAACAAGAGCAAAACUCCGUCUCAAAAAAAAAAAAAAAAAUUACACUUAGUUUUCACUGAUCUGUGAAAAAGAAUAUGUAGCUGUUAUCAUAAUAAAUAUCUUAUAUAACAAUUUUAAAUAUUGCUGUAAUGAAAAUACUUCUUAAUAUAUGAAAUUUUGCUGAAUAUGUAUGCUAUAUUUUGACAAAUUACCAAAUGUUAAUCAAAAACAGAUAUUUGAUAUUUUUAAAUGAUAAACUUUUUAGAAUAUAUGGCUCUUUAAGUCUUGUU
rnacentral:lncRNA from 1 species